UAAUUGGGCGUUAAGUUGCAGGGUAUAGACCCGAAACCCGGUGAUCUAGCCAUGGGCAGGUUGAAGGUUGGGUAACACUAACUGGAGGACCGAACCGACUAAUGUUGAAAAAUUAGCGGAUGACCUGUGGCUGGGGGUGAAAGGCCAAUCAAACCGGGAGAUAGCUGGUUCUCCCCGAAAGCUAUUUAGGUAGCGCCUCGUGAAUUCAUCUCCGGGGGUAGAGCACUGUUUCGGCUAGGGGGCCAUCCCGGCUUACCAACCCGAUGCAAACUGCGAAUACCGGAGAAUGUUAUCACGGGAGACACACGGCGGGUGCUAACGUCCGUCGUGAAGAGGGAAACAACCCAGACCGCCAGCUAAGGUCCCAAAGUCAUGGUUAAGUGGGAAACGAUGUGGGAAGGCCCAGACAGCCAGGAUGUUGGCUUAGAAGCAGCCAUCAUUUAAAGAAAGCGUAAUAGCUCACUGGUCGAGUCGGCCUGCGCGGAAGAUGUAACGGGGCUAAACCAUGCACCGAAGCUGCGGCAGCGACACUCAGGUGUUGUUGGGUAGGGGAGCGUUCUGUAAGCCUGCGAAGGUGGCCUGUGAGGGUUGCUGGAGGUAUCAGAAGUGCGAAUGCUGACAUAAGUAACGAUAAAGCGGGUGAAAAGCCCGCUCGCCGGAAGACCAAGGGUUCCUGUCCAACGUUAAUCGGGGCAGGGUGAGUCGACCCCUAAGGCGAGGCCGAAAGGCGUAGUCGAUGGGAAACGGGUUAAUAUUCCCGUACUUGGUGUUACUGCGAAGGGGGGACGGAGAAGGCUAUGUUGGCCGGGCGACGGUUGUCCCGGUUUAAGCGUGUAGGUGUGUGUUCCAGGUAAAUCCGGUUCACUUUAACACUGAGGCGUGAUGACGAGGCACUACGGUGCUGAAGCAACAAAUGCCCUGCUUCCAGGAAAAGCCUCUAAGCAUCAGGUAACAUCAAAUCGUACCCCAAACCGACACAGGUGGUCAGGUAGAGAAUACCAAGGCGCUUGAGAGAACUCGGGUGAAGGAACUAGGCAAAAUGGUGCCGUAACU
rnacentral:rRNA from 1 species